CUGAAUACAUGCAUAUAUCUGUUUUACUUUCCAAAGUAAAGAUCCCACCAAAAGAGUCAGUUAUGCAAGAGAUGUAUUAAAUGCUGUAGCAAGAUAUUCUUGCAAAAUAUUUAAUUCCAUUUACCAGGAUUCCUGGUGUUAGAGGCUAGUACUUGGGAAUACAGUGUUCAACAAGAUUGUGAGUCACUGGAGCUUGUGUAACAAGUUCUUCGCAUAGAACCAUAAAACCUGGUCUAUUGUUUAAAUGCAAGAUAAAGAAAAGAAGAAUUGAGUUCAGCAUUAUGGAAGUACAUAUAUGUUUAGAGAUGAGAAAGAAUCACUCAUAUCCAAGGUUCCUUUUAUUUUGAGAUUUGUAAGACUAAACACUUUUUCACUUGGUUUUGGUUAUUUUUGUAUGGCAGGGCCUGCAAAAAUCCUAUGAUGCAGUGGGCUCAUGGGUGCAGAUGGCAGGGAGGGCUCUCCGUUAUAUCUGCAUUCCUUUCUGGUUGCUCCAUUCAUUGCGAAUCCAUAGGCCAACUCCAGAACCAGUGGGGCUUUCGCAUAUAGUUAUACCUUCAAGCUGCCUACAACAGUUCCCCAUGUCACCUUUAUCUCAGCUUGGUGUUCCUUCUAUUGCAUCAUGCUGAAAAGGGAGACAGAAUGAACAUUAUGUGUUUAUUCUGAGCACUGCUUGGAAUAGCAUCAUUGGAAUUACACAAGGGAAAGAAGGAAUAAGGUCUGCAUCAGUGGCAAAAACCAACAGAAUGGAUGUCUAGAUCUACUCCUAAGGAAGGAAAGCUUCUCUUUCUGAAGGUGCUGGCCUGUAGACCAAUCUCAAAACGUAUGUACUAAAGGAGCAGGAGUUGAAUAAGACCAUGGCUGAAUCUGUGAAGGAGACAAAAACUAACUAGAAACAUGAGCAAACUCCUUUUGGGAACAAUGUCCUGAAAUUUUAACUUGUACAGAUCCAAAAAUAGACUUUCCAUCUUGAUGCCAACCAGGAAACAAACUCCUGUUUCUGCUGCUGUUCAGGAGACUGCCUACUAUCACACUUGGACAUCACAUGUUGAUUCAGAAAGUCAUGUGCUUGAGCAAAGAUCAGUGGUGGUUUGUGAUAUCUGCUGAAACAUCUCUGGAAAUCAGUUAUUGAUUAAAUUUUCAUUAUCACUCAUAACAGAUUACUGUGCUAAGGGCACUUUCGGGCACACUCGGUGCAAUUUGCCCAGGGAUAUGCCUAAGUUUGGUCAGUGCCUGAAGAAAUGUGAAAUGUUCUCCCUUCUGAUACAGUUUCUACCAGAGGUCCCCCAGAUUGGAAAGUCUCUAUUGACAAAGUUUCAGCACCAAGAUAUUAUCCAAAAUUCAGAGGAGGAAAAGGGCCCUGGAGCUCCUGGAGACCUGGGCCUCAGGAUCUUUGAGCGUUGCAUCCAGCUCAGGAGUUACACGAAGCAACCCAAGCUCCACCAAGCAACUCUGAAUUAUGGAAUGGAAAUUUAUCAAAGGUCACUUGGAAGUGGGAAUUGCAAACUUUUUACUGGAAAAACAAAAAAUAAGAAUACCCUUUUGAUCUUGUUGUUGAUGUUAAUUUGUUUUUAUUUUUCCCCCCUCAAUGUUUUUGUCUGAAAUGACAAGUUCUUUAAUCACCUCCUCCUAAGAUACAUUUUGAAUUUAUUUGUGUCCGCCUUUUCCCAUGAAAGGUAAAGAUUUCCCAGAAGAUUACUUCACACAGUGUGCAUACCCACAAAUGUCCUUCUCCUCCAUCAUCUCCAAGAAGGGACCACUUGUCCUAUACACUGCAAAGAAAGAUUAUUAUUUUUACUUGAUUGUUAAUUAAUUUAAUAUUUAAUACCAUACCUUGGUGGGGAAGAGGCUAACAAAACCUUGCCAGACUACAUGCGGUGGGCUGUAUUAGGAGUCUGUGUGAGUGGCCACAUCUCACACUGCGGAGCAGUUGUUGGAGGGAGGCACUGCCCUCAGUAGUACAGCAGCACCAGCAUUUUCUGGUUGCAUACUGAGUAGGAAGAUAAGAUAUGAGAGUAUAGGUCAAUGCCGCAUCAGAUAUACCAGAUAACACUGGAAUCCUUUGCAUAUUCAAGCAGGAUAGGCCCCAGAAUAAGCUCAAUCCACCCAGCAAGUAUUUCAGGAAUGCACCUGGGAUGUAGUGU
ensembl:lncRNA